rnacentral:rRNA from 1 species
CAUCAGAACUCCGAAGUUAAGCGAGUUUGGGCGAGAGUAGUACUAGGAUGGGUGACGUCCUGGGAAGUCCUAGUGUUGCAUUCC